rnacentral:rRNA from 1 species
AGUUUGAUCCUGGCUCAAAAUCAACGCUGGCGGCGUGCCUCAGGCAUGCAAGUCAAACGCGAAAGGUCCCUUCGGGGGCCGAGUAGAGUGGCGUCCGGGUGAAUAACACGUAAGUAAUCUACCUCUGGGUGGGGAAUAACAGCCGGAAACGGCUGCUAAUACCGCAUAAUGCAGCGGCACCACAUGGUGACUUUUGUUAAAGCGGGGGAACAGCUUUGUCCUCCCGCCUGGAGAGGAGCCUGCGGCGGAUUAUCUAGUUGGCGGGGUAACGGCCCACCAAGGCAACGAUCCGUAGCCGGCCUGAGAGGGCGGUCGGCCACACUGGCACUGACACACGGGCCACACUCCUACGGGAGGCAGCAGUCGGUAUUUUUGGGCAAUGGGCGAAAGCCUGACCCACCACCGCCGCGUGAAGGAUGAAUCUUCUCGGAGUGUAAACUUCAUAAGAAUGGGACGAAUAGGGAGGGGUUAAUACCCCCUUUGAUGACGGUACUAUUUGUAAGCUCCGGCUAACUCCGUGCCAGCAGCCGCGGUAAUACGGGGGGAGCAAUCGUUGUUCUUAUUUACUGGGCGUAAAGGGCGCGUAGGCGGCGCAACAAGUCAGCUGUGAAAUCUCCGGGCUUAACCCGGAGCGGCCAUCUGAUACUGUCGUGCUAGAGUGCGGAAGGGGCUACUGUAAUUCUCGGUGUAGCGGUGAAAUGCAUAUAUAUCGAGAGGACCAUCUGUGGCGAAGG